ensembl:piRNA 21ur-211 ncRNA
UCGGAUUUGCUCACACCGGAU